rnacentral:lncRNA from 1 species
UUAAAAUUGUAAUAGAUCGAGGAAAAAUAUCUAGAAAAAUCGAUUCAGGAAGAAAUUUUUAACAGUGUAGAAGAAUUUGUAAUGAAAUCUUCAAGUGAGAUUAGAAGAACAAUGUAGAAGAAUCUUCUCUUCUUUUUUUCCUUUUCAAUGGGGCAGCCAUGGAGAAAACCCACUUGUUAUAUCUGAAAAAUUUUCAACAAAAAAAAAUGCAUCAGAAGGUAGGACCAGUUGUUUAGGGUUUCUAUUUCUUUUGUUUGAAUUGUAAGGUGGAGGUCUGAGUUCUUUGGUGGUCGGUGACAAUGGAGAUACUGAGAAGGCUGUGGAAGGUGAGUAAUGGUGAUGGGACGGUGAAAACUAGGUUAUAUUUUUCAUCUAUCUAUAAUUUUUUCUUGAAUAUGUGUAUGUUAAUUGAUGAAAAAUGAAAGAGAAAUGUUGAUGAAGAAAGAGAUAUGAGCUGAAAAGCUCUGAUUGAAGGCACGAUGAAGCCUCAAGGAGAUGAGUUUCUUUCCAUUUUUGCUUUUUGUUAAAAAAAAUUGGGUGGGGUUUGUUUUUCUUUUUCUUUUUCAUUUUUUUAAGUUAAUGACACGUGUCGUUGUAUGACUGGUGCGUGAUAUUACACAUGUUUUGAAAAACUGGUCAAGAAAAAAGUUGUGUGUUUUAGGGACACUCUGAAAUGAUUGAGUGUGUAAGAUAAUUUUCGUCCGCAAAAAGUGUAUAACAGGGAUUUGGUCCAUAGCUCAGGGGGUAACCUAUGUAUUUUGCCCAAAAUUAAUAAUGUUCGAAGACAACGUAGAAUGGAAUGACAAAGACAUAUAUAAUUAAAUAUGUCAAGAUUAAGAAUUUUCAAAAGAAGAAUAUUUUGCAUGGAUUUGAUGUUUGAAUUUGAGAAAAUGCAUAAAGUACCUGUUAAACUUGUCCGAAAAAUUACUUACACACCUAAAUUUUACGGGCGUUCUUUUACCUCCUUAUUCUAAACUUAAGUGAAUUUAAUACUCUCUUGAGUGAUGACCUGGCGUGAAAAGUAUAGUUCAUUUCGUAGAUGCGUGUUGUAUACGGUAAAAAUAAGAGGAUCCGAUUUUGUGAUCAUUAUGGCAUUUCGUGAGACCGCCCCUGAAGCCUCAAGACCCAGCUCGAGGUUCGACCCCGAGGGUUCUUAAUGAUCGACCUCGAGGUAGUGCAAAUCAAAAACUAUGAUGGACAAACGGGAAGUUUUCAAGGCACGUGAUUAAAGCUAACAAAGUCUAUUAGACUAGUUCAAGCCCGUACCGUGACAUUAAAUGGCUGUACCAACCUCAUAUCUUUGUAAUAAAUACAUUUGUACUAUGUUGGGAUUCUCCCUCAUAUAUAAAGGGGACCCUUGUCAUUUUGUAACAAAACACAACAUUCAAUACAAGAACAAGAACAUUAUCUGCUCUCUAACUUAAACACAUUCUCCCUUGAUUCUAUUAUUUACGUUUAUUGCUUACAUUUACUAUGUUCUAUUAAUUGUUCUUCAUUUAUUGCUCACUAGUCUUAAAGUACGCGCGUUGCGCGUGUAACCUAUCUAAAUGAGUAUAAAACUUUUAAAAAUUUAUAUAAUAUUAUUUUUGAAUUAAAAUAAGUGACUGAAUUUAUUUUAACAAAAAUAAAUUUCAUAUUUUUGUUAAAUGUCAUUCUUUUAUAUUAAUUUCAUAUCAAAAUAGUCAUCUAGGUACCAUGUAUUCUAAGACAAGUUAACUACAAAGAGAAAAAAAUUAGCGACAAAUAAAUUAUGUAGUUAAAUAAUAAAAUUCAUCGCUAUCCUACUUAGUGACAGAAUCAGUUAUAUAUUACAAAAAAUCCUAUUAGCUAUAAGAUGAGUUUAGUAACUAAUUCAUGUUUAAAAGUUAAAUUAUGUAACAAACUUUCUUAGUAAUAAUAUUAGGUUCUUUUUUACCAAAAAAUAAAAGUCCUUUUCCAUUUAUUUAUUUUAACAUAUGCAUUGAGGUAAUUUAGGUAUUUCUGUAAAUUAAAUUAUGAUAAUUAAUUUUUUUAUCACAAAUUAAUGAUUACUAUUUUUCAACAAUAAUUACUAUUUCAAAACCUAACGUCGUAGUAAAUUUUAACGAAUUUAACAACCAAGCUUCUAAGAAAAUACUUAUGAUUUAAGUUUUUAAAACAACAAAUAAAUCAUAUGAAAGAAAAAUAAAGGCAAAAUUGGUCUUUAUGAUUAAACAAGGACAAAGAAUAAAAAAUAUCACACAAAAACGUGAAUUUUCCUUGUUGGAAACAAACAAAAAAAUUUCCUCCGUACUUUUUUUGUAUUCUUUUAUGUCUUAAUAUAUUGUAUUCUUAUUAGGAGAAGAUAUCAAACACUAAAUUAUAUUAAAUUUUUUUAAUUUAGAACUCCUAAAUAUGGGGAAAGUUUUUUUAUUUUAUAAUUUUGUCCAAUGUAAAAUAUGUUUUUAAAGGGUAAAAAAGGCGAUCGACAUUUCGCUAAGGGUCUUUGUGCUUUUAAUAUAGUAUAGAUUAUUGAUCAUAAAGAGCCUUCAUCAAAGCUCUCAAAACUGUUAGUCCUUCGUCGGUUGUCCAUAGCUUAGUAUCGAGCUCGGCAUCGAGGCCCCGAUUCUCAGCCACUCGGUUUGCUUAAACAUAUUGCUUUCAUGUUCUUAUUUUAUUUUUUAGUCUCAUACUUGUCACACCUCCUUUUACACACCCGAGGGUAUAUGAGAGUUUUUUCAAUUAAAGUGACAUUAAUUGAAAUGAGAUUAAUUAAAUUAUCUGAGUCGCCACUUGGAAUAAAUUAUUUGGUGUCCCAAGUCACCGGUUUAUUUUAAAUCCCAAAUCGAGGAAGUUUUUGACUUUAUUUAAAAGUCUGCGAACCAGAAAUUCUAAGUAAAGAAUUCUAAUUACUCAUUUUAGGAUCUAUAUGCAUUUACCUUUUACCGCUUUUAAUCACUUGAUUUAUUAGUAAUUAAAGAAUUGAGUUACGCGUACGUAUACUCAUUUUCCUUGGCGCGUCAAAAAUCAUGUCAUGCGAACGUGUCCACAAUUAAUGACGCUUUGUUUAUUUUAUUAAGAAAAGUUUGAUUGAAGUUGCGCGAACGCAUCCCUCGAGUCUUUUUUUUAGAAUCAAAUUCGCAAUUAUGUUACGCGAACGUAAACAUAAUCACGAUGAUUUAUUAAAAGCGUGCUUAAAAAUAUACUAGGUGUAUGUAAAUUAUUCUAUGGAGAAUUGUCCUAUAUGUUAGAUUUAAGAAAAAGCUGGACCAACUAAAUUCAACCCAAAUGCAUGGCCUAAAUGGCUAAAAUGACAAAAAGAAAUGAAAACCUCAAAAUUAAUGAAAUGGUGCGCACGUUUAAAAUCUAUUGUGCCUAUUCCAAUAUUUGCUUUGAAAUUUGUUUUCAAGAAAUCUAGAACCUUAACAAAUUACAACCAACAAUCACCUGGUCCAUUCCAUACUUUCUAGAUAGUCUAAAUUUCAAGUUAAGAAGUACAAUUUAAUAUACUAACUCAAUGAUGAUAAGGCAUAAACACAUAAAUAAAGAAAAUUAAAUUAAACUAACUAAUAUGCUCAUGCUAAGAAACAAAGCUUCAUUCUCAUUUGCAACACAAAAAGAAGAACGAAAAAUAAUAUCUUAACCAAAUGUAGAGUAUGACACAACCAGCAAACAAAUCAUGUAUAUCCUCAUUUUUUCAAACAAAAAAAAACGUGAAGUUUAAAAAUUGAGGUAAAAGAAUAUACCUCAUCUUUUCCAAUAAAUGGUACUCCUGUACAUCUAGUCACCAAAUCCACUAUCCACCGAGGGAACACAACUGCUUCCUUCUUCGUCUAGACCGGAACUGAAGCUAGCGAACGGAAAACACUGACGACCUCGAAUUCUAAGUUUUACAAGCAGAACGAGAAGAGGUAACUAUGUCACGGUGAUGAAGAGAUCUGAGCAAUACGGCUGUUGUCAUAAGAGAAUACAUUAAGGAGACUAAUUGUGCUUACUUGAUUGUAGCUUCUGUAAAUAGAGGUUGUUUGUUGCUAGCGGAAGAGAUUGGUUUCAAGCUGGUUUUUGUUGGUUGUUUGGAGUAUUUUCGAUUUAGUUUUAGAGUGCUCUUUGGUUGAGAAAGAGGGCUUGCACCCGAUUCAUCUUAUGCCCUUUCGCUGGCUUCCUCCUUGUCAAAAAAUGACGAUGGAGAUGGAUUUUUCAGAGGAUUUGCCGCUGCCUUCUUUUCAUUUUUUGGGAAUUAAGUUCUAUUCCUUGAUUUUAGGGGUUAACAUUAUUUUAUAACGGUAGGAAUUAGGUUAGGUCAAAUGCGGAGUGAGUAUGAACUCAAUGUUUUUGGUUUGAAGGGAUUUGGGUCAUGAAUUUGUGGCUAAUUAACUUUGGG